GAAAAGAAACCAACAGGGAUUCCCCUAGUAACGGCGAGUGAAGCGGGAAGAGCUCAAAUUUAAAAUCGUGUCAGGGUGACCUGGUCACGAAUUGUAGUUUGAUGAGGUAUGCUUGGUGGGCGCCUGGGUCAAAAUCCUUUGGAAAAGGGUAUCAUAGAGGGUGACAAUCCCGUCUGUGAUCCAGACAGCGGUCUAUCGUGUAAGCUACCUUCAAAGAGUCGGGUUGUUUGGGAAUGCAGCCCUAAGCUGGUGGUAAAUUCCAUCUAAAGCUAAAUAUUCGUGAGAGACCGAUAGCGAACAAGUACCGUGAGGGAAAGUUGAAAAGCACUCUGGAGAGAGAGUCAAACAGCACGUGAAAUUGUUAACAGGGAAACGUUGGGCACCAGUACGCGCCUCGCGUAAAAUCAACCAUCUUUUCCCCAAUGAUAUACGUCGGAUGGAUGAGCCUUAACCAGCCAUUGUUCGUUCGUUAUCUAAGGGAGGUGGUGCACUUUUGCGUGGGCGGGUCAACAUCAGUUAGGACUGCUGGAAAAUCCUCAAGGGAAGGUAGGUACAGGAUUCGUCCAGUACAACUUAUAGCCCUUGUUGAACGCGGCGAUUCUGACUGUGGAGUCGCGACUCGUGCUUCCCUCGGGAGGCUGGCCCCCAGGGCCCUCUGCGUCCGCUAGUGCUAGACAGCUUGCUGACUAGUAUUGGUCUGGAGGUGGAUGUGGUCAGGGUAGGGUUCUAACGAGUCUCCGGACCGUGGGGAAAAG
rnacentral:rRNA from 1 species